rnacentral:rRNA from 1 species
UACGGGGGGGGCAAGCGUUGUUCGGAAUUACUGGGCGUAAAGGGCGCGUAGGCGGUUGGAUAAGUCAGCUGUGAAAACCACGGGCUUAACUCGUGGCCUGCAGUUGAGACUGUCUGGCUUGAGUGUGGGAGAGGAGAGUGGAAUUCCUGGUGUAGCGGUGAAAUGCGCAGAUAUCAGGAGGAACACCGGUGGCGAAGGCGGGUCUCUGGGCAGUAACUGACGCUGAGGAGCGAAAGCGUGGGGAGCAAACAGG